GUCCUGGUAGCUCAGCUGGAUAGAGCAAUGCCCUUCUAAGGCAUCGGUCCGGGGUUCGAAUCCCUGCCAGGAUACCA
rnacentral:tRNA from 1 species